GAGGGUCAUAUGAUGUACAGAAGCAUAGUUCAAAUGAUAUUUCAGUGAUUAUACUAUUUUACGUCUUUCGCUCCUAUCUGAUGAUCUCU